rnacentral:rRNA from 1 species
UGCAAGUCGAGCGGUAACAUUUCAAAAGCUUGCUUUUGAAGAUGACGAGCGGCGGACGGGUGAGUAAUGCCUGGGAAUAUGCCUUGAUGUGGGGGAUAACCAUUGGAAACGAUGGCUAAUACCGCAUAAUGCCUACGGGCCAAAGAGGGGGAUCUUCGGACCUCUCGCGUCAAGAUUAGCCCAGGUGGGAUUAGCUAGUUGGUGAGGUAAUGGCUCACCAAGGCGACGAUCCCUAGCUGGUCUGAGAGGAUGAUCAGCCACACUGGAACUGAGACACGGUCCAGACUCCUACGGGAGGCAGCAGUGGGGAAUAUUGCACAAUGGGCGCAAGCCUGAUGCAGCCAUGCCGCGUGUGUGAAGAAGGCCUUCGGGUUGUAAAGCACUUUCAGUCGUGAGGAAGGUAGUUGCGUUAAUAGCGUAAUUAUUUGACGUUAGCGACAGAAGAAGCACCGGCUAACUCCGUGCCAGCAGCCGCGGUAAUACGGAGGGUGCGAGCGUUAAUCGGAAUUACUGGGCGUAAAGCGCAUGCAGGUGGUUUGUUAAGUCAGAUGUGAAAGCCCGGGGCUCAACCUCGGAAUUGCAUUUGAAACUGGCAGACUAGAGUACUGUAGAGGGGGGUAGAAUUUCAGGUGUAGCGGUGAAAUGCGUAGAGAUCUGAAGGAAUACCGGUGGCGAAGGCGGCCCCCUGGACAGAUACUGACACUCAGAUGCGAAAGCGUGGGGAGCAAACAGGAUUAGAUACCCUGGUAGUCCACGCCGUAAACGAUGUCUACUUGGAGGUUGUGGCCUUGAGCCGUGGCUUUCGGAGCUAACGCGUUAAGUAGACCGCCUGGGGAGUACGGUCGCAAGAUUAAAACUCAAAUGAAUUGACGGGGGCCCGCACAAGCGGUGGAGCAUGUGGUUUAAUUCGAUGCAACGCGAAGAACCUUACCUACUCUUGACAUCCAGAGAAGCCAGCGGAGACGCAGGUGUGCCUUCGGGAGCUCUGAGACAGGUGCUGCAUGGCUGUCGUCAGCUCGUGUUGUGAAAUGUUGGGUUAAGUCCCGCAACGAGCGCAACCCUUAUCCUUGUUUGCCAGCGAGUAAUGUCGGGAACUCCAGGGAGACUGCCGGUGAUAAACCGGAGGAAGGUGGGGACGACGUCAAGUCAUCAUGGCCCUUACGAGUAGGGCUACACACGUGCUACAAUGGCGCAUACAGAGGGCUGCCAACCAGCGAUGGUGAGCGAAUCCCAAAAAGUGCGUCGUAGUCCGGAUUGGAGUCUGCAACUCGACUCCAUGAAGUCGGAAUCGCUAGUAAUCGUGGAUCAGAAUGCCACGGUGAAUACGUUCCCGGGCCUUGUACACACCGCCCGUCACACCAUGGGAGUGGGCUGCAAAAGAAGUGGGUAGUUUAACCUUUCGAGGAGGACGCUCACCACUU